rnacentral:snRNA from 1 species
AGCAUUUGGCAGGACAUAUACCAAAACUGGAAUUACACAAAGAAGAUUAGCAGGGCUUCUGUGCAAGAAUGGCAUGCAAUUUGGGGAAGCAAUCCCAGAAUAC